GGUUCUAUGGUUUAAUGGUGAGCACUCUGGCUUUGAAUCCAGUGAUCCGUCUUCAAAUCUCGGUGGAACCUA